CAGGGUCAAAAUCAAACCUCUAGCUACUAAAAUGAGUGCCUAGGGCAAAAUAAGGAUUCAUUCAUAGAUUGGAGAUUAGGAUUUGAGAGCGAGGUUAGAGCUUGUUCCAGAGACAUAAGAUUGGUUUUGGUAGAGUUUGGAAAGAGUUAGCAAUUAUUGUUGGAAAUCAAGAUUUAUAUUGGCAACUUAGAAUUUAUACAAUGAAAUUAGGGCUAGUACUCUUGGCUAUUUCGUAAAAUUGAUGUCACAUCAACAAUUCAAAUUUUGGAAAUGCUUGUAUAAUUAGGUGUUCUAAGUGUAUGUGAAAUUUUGUAAUAAUCCAACGAUGCAAUUGAAAGAUAUUUGAAUUUUGAUACAAGUAUGUAUCGGAAGUUGGCAGUUUGGGAUUGGGUAGGAUUUCUAUGAUAUUUGAAGAUCUACUAGUCGGAUCAAGGUGAAAUUUGGCAUGGUAUUAAAAGACUUGAAGAUCAAGUUUCAAACCAAUUUUGACUCAAAGUUAAUAAUUGAAGAAGGAGAAAUCAUUGCUAGAAUUUUUGCUUCACCUUUCAAGUUGGCAGCCAAGUGACAUUAGUGUAGUUUUUGGAGGUUUUUUCACAAUUUGUAAGUUGGAUUGGGCUGAAAAUUCUUGAGCAUAUAGAAGACUUACAUUGACAAUUGUAUGCAAAAUUUUACAUUAAGUAGACGAUCAAAUUAGAAGUUACAGCUUAUCAAAGCUCACUAAUUAGGGUUGGAACUUAUAAGAAAAAUCUAAAUUGCUUGAAUAU
rnacentral:lncRNA from 1 species